rnacentral:rRNA from 1 species
GGCCCAGACUCCUACGGGAGGCAGCAGUGAGGAAUAUUGGUCAAUGGGCGGAAGCCUGAACCAGCCAAGUCGCGUGAGGGAAUAAGGCCCUACGGGUCGUAAACCUCUUUUGCCGGGGAGCAAGGGCCGGGACGCGUCCCGGCCCGGAGAGUACCCGGAGAAAAAGCAUCGGCUAACUACGUGCCAGCAGCCGCGGUAAUACGUAGGUGGCAAGCGUUAUCCGGAUUUAUUGGGUGUAAAGGGCGUGUAGGCGGGAAUGCAAGUCAGAUGUGAAAACUAUGGGCUCAACCCAUAGCCUGCAUUUGAAACUGUAUUUCUUGAGUGCUGGAGAGGCAAUCGGAAUUCCGUGUGUAGCGGUGAAAUGCGUAGAUAUACGGAGGAACACCAGUGGCGAAGGCGGAUUGCUGGACAGUAACUGACGCUGAGGCGCGAAAGCGUGGGGAGCAAACAGGAUUAGAUACCCGAGUA